rnacentral:rRNA from 1 species
AAUGAACGUUGGCGGCGUGGAUUAGGCAUGCAAGUCGUACGAGAAUCGUAGCAAUACGAGGAAAGUGGCGGAAGGGAGAGGAUUACGUGGGAAUCUACCCUCAGAACUGGGAUAGCGGCGGGAAACUGCCGGCGAUACCAGAUAAUGUCUGUGGACCAAAGGUGUGAUUCCGUCUGGGGAUGAGCCCACGUCCUAUUAGCUAGUUGGCAGGGUAAUGGCCUACCAAGGCAAUGAUGGGUAGCGGGUGUGAGAGCAUGACCCGCCUCACUGGGACUGAGAACUGCCCAGAAACUUACGGGUGGCUGCAGUCGAGAAUCUUCGGCAAUGAGCGCAAGCUUGACCGAGCGACGCCGCGUGCGGGAUGAAGGCCUUCGGGUUGUAAACCGCUGUCGUAGGGGAGCAAGAGAUGAGGGUACUCCCUCUGAUUUGAGCGAUCCUAGGAGGAAGGACGGGCUAAGUUCGUGCCAGCCGCCGCAGUAAGAC